AGCGAACGCUGGCGGCAGGCUUAACACAUGCAAGUCGAACGGGCACUUCGGUGCUAGUGGCAGACGGGUGAGUAACACGUGGGAACGUACCUUUCGGUUCGGAAUAAUACAGGGAAACUUGUACUAAUACCGGAUACGCCCUUCGGGGAAGAUUUAUCGCCGAUAGAUCGGCCCGCGUCUGAUUAGCUAGUUGGUGAGGUAAUGGCUCACCAAGGCGACGAUCAGUAGCUGGUCUGAGAGGAUGAUCAGCCACACUGGGACUGAGACACGGCCCAGACUCCUACGGGAGGCAGCAGUGGGAAUAUUGGACAAUGGGCGAAAGCCUGAUCCAGCCAUGCCGCGUGUGUGAUGAAGGCUAGGGUUGUAAGCACUUUGUCCGGGAAGAUAAUGACUGUACCGGAAGAAUAAGCCCGGCUAACUUCGUGCCAGCAGCCGCGGU
rnacentral:rRNA from 1 species